rnacentral:rRNA from 1 species
GUGGGGAAUAUUGGACAAUGGGCGAAAGCCUGAUCCAGCCAUGCCGCGUGUGUGAAGAAGGUCUUCGGAUUGUAAAGCACUUUAAGUUGGGAGGAAGGGCAGUAAGUUAAUACCUUGCUGUUUUGACGUUACCGACAGAAUAAGCACCGGCUAACUUCGUGCCAGCAGCCGCGGUAAUACGAAGGGGGCAAGCGUUAAUCGGAAUUACUGGGCGUAAAGCGCGCGUAGGUGGUUUUGUAAGUUGGAGGUGAAAUCCCCGGGCUCAACCUGGGAACUGCCUCCAAAACUGCAUGACUAGAGUACGGUAGAGGGUAGUGGAAUUUCCUGUGUAGCGGUGAAAUGCGUAGAUAUAGGAAGGAACACCAGUGGCGAAGGCGACUACCUGGACUGAUACUGACACUGAGGUGCGAAAGCGUGGGGAGCAAACAGGAUUAGAUACCCCUGUAGUCC